UACGUAGGGCGCAAGCGUUGUCCGGAAUUACUGGGCGUAAAGGGCGCGUAGGCGGCCUACUAAGUCAGACGUGAAAUCCCCCGGCUUAACCUGGGAACUGCGUCUGAUACUGGAUGGCUAGAGGUUGGGAGAGGGAUGCGGAAUUCCAGGUGUAGCGGUGAAAUGCGUAGAUAUCUGGAGGAACACCGGUGGCGAAGGCGGGUCUCUGGGCCGAUACUGACGCUGAGGAGCGAAAGCGUGGGGAGCAAACAGG
rnacentral:rRNA from 1 species